rnacentral:rRNA from 1 species
UGGGGAAUAUUGGACAAUGGGCGCAAGCCUGAUCCAGCAAUGCCGCGUGUGUGGAGAAGGCCUUCGGGUUGUAAAGCACUUUUAUCAGGAGCGAAACGCUGUCGGCUAAUACCCGGCGGAACUGACGGUACCUGAGGAAUAAGCACCGGCUAACUUCGUGCCAGCAGCCGCGGUAAUACGAAGGGUGCAAGCGUUAAUCGGAAUUACUGGGCGUAAAGCGUGCGUAGGCGGUUUCUUAAGUCUGCUGUGAAAUCCCCGGGCUCAACCUGGGAAUGGCAGUGGAUACUGGGAGGCUAGAGUGUGUCAGAGGGUGGUGGAAUUCCCGGUGUAGCGGUGAAAUGCGUAGAGAUCGGGAGGAACAUCAGUGGCGAAGGCGGCCACCUGGGACAACACUGACGCUGAGGCACGAAAGCGUGGGGAGCAAACAGGAUUAGAUACCCUGGUAGUCCACGCCCUAAAGCGAUGCGAACUGGAUGUUGGUCUCAACUCGGAGAUCAGUGUCGAAGCUAACGCGUUAAGUUCGCCGCCUGGGGAGUACGGUCGCAAGACUGAAACUCAAAUGAAUUGACGGGGUCAUAGCUGUUUCCUG